CAGUAGCCGCGGUAAUACGUAGGGUGCGAGCGUUAAUCGGAAUUACUGGGCGUAAAGCGUGCGCAGGCGGUUCGUUAAGACAGAUGUGAAAUCCCCGGGCUUAACCUGGGAACUGCAUUUGUGACUGGCGAGCUAGAGUAUGGCAGAGGGGGGUAGAAUUCCACGUGUAGCAGUGAAAUGCGUAGAGAUGUGGAGGAAUACCGGUGGCGAAGGCAGCCCCCUGGGCCAAUACUGACGCUCAUGCACGAAAGCGUGGGGAGCAAACAGGAUUAGAUACCCGCGUAGUCCCUGUCUCUUAUAC
rnacentral:rRNA from 1 species